UUCCCCGCCCCUCGAACGGGAGCUCGAGCCCCUGGCCUGGCCCCGGCUCCUGCUCGCCGCCCCACCUUGCGGGGGCCGGGGUCGCCGCGGGUGGUGGGGGGCGCUGUGCCCAGCAGGGGCGACAGCGCAGGCGGGGCCUCCUGCAGCCCCCUUCCCCAUCCCCGGUCGCGUCCCGGUCCCCACCUUGCGAAAGGCUCGAGAGAGGCCGCAGGCUAGGAUUGGACCGCCGGGCGCCGCCGGAUGGUGUUGCCAGGGUAACCGGAUGGCACGCGAAGCCGUUCGAGGUUCCGACCCGGUUACGGGGGCGCCCAGUGGACCCGGAGAGCUACUUUGGGGAGGGGGCGGCCCCGAAGAAGGACUGGGUGGGGGCGCAUGGAGCGGGGGCUGCGCGAAAAGUUUCCUGGGGCGGAGCUGAGCCACGCGGGCCGCGCAGGAGCGUCUGUCCGAGGGUCGCCUACGAGGGACUCCUCUGCUCGGCUGCGCGGGCUUCUGCGUUGAUGAAGUCACCGCGUUCCGGGUCGGAGCUUCGGCGCUUCUGCCCCGAACCCAGCGAAGCCCGGUCCUAUGCCCCCAAUUACCCAACGGUCCCUCAUCGCCCAGCGCAGCUGCUGCCUGGCCAGGCCCUUGCUCCGGAGGAGUCACUGGAAAGUUCCAGGGAAUCUGGGCCUCCCGGACUCUCCACCGGCGUUUCACUGCUCCCUUCCCAUGCCAGGACUCCUCUGUGCCUACCUGGUUAGUCUGUAUUUGCAAAAAACAAACAAAAACAACAACAAAAAACAAAUGGGGGGCACUUAAAGGAGGACAGACGCUGGGCGGGGACCUUUCACUGAGAGAAGUGACAUGGGGCGGAAUCCUCUGCAGACCCGCUGACGCCUUGAGAAACCACGGCAAAACCCUGCUUUUAAUCCUCCACAGGCUGAGGGCAGUGCAGAAUCCGGGCCUUGGAAAGGACACUGGUGCCACCCUUCACUGGGGAAAGGUGCAAGGGGCGGGGGAUAUACCAUGCCGAGCCUUCGCUCUGUGCUCUGUGCAGGUGCUUGACCCAGGCCAGCUCUGGAAUCGCCCCAGGCCAUGUGAGAGCCGUGGGGGGUGAGAGGGGCGGGAAGCACUUCACAGGUGAGGCCUCCCUGGGAGGGGCAGCCAGUGAGGGGGUGGAAGGGCAGAGCCAGGAGGACCAUGGCUUGGGGCUCAGUCUCCCAGGCGAACCAUAGCUUGGGGCUUAAGUCCCCCAAGCAGCCCUUUCACCCCCAGGCCUCCAGGAUCUUUGCCAACGGUCUUGAGGAGCCAGGCACAGGAUUGGACUCUGCCCGGGCAGGAGGAUGAAGACAGUGACUUCCCCACCAAGACUCCCGGCAGAGGGCCAGAGGCAGGGAAGUGUGGUGGCAGGAGGGCCAGCCUUGCCGUGGCUGGACCAGGGGCCAGCGCUUGCUAACUCGGGGUCCUGGCCGAGUUGUGUGGCCUCUCCGACCCUCGGUCUCCUCAUCUGUAAGAUGGGUCCCACAGCCCCUCCCCGGGGAGGUGUUUGCAGGGCUCCAUGAGAAGGCCUUACACACACUGUGGCUAUGGUGAUCUGUGAGCCGGUCAGAGGACCCGAGAGGCAGCAGGGUGACUCAGCAGUUUCCCUGCCGGGCCGCCCCUGGGUCAUCGUCCCCUAGAGCCUCUCCCUGAGGGGUGUGAGGGAGCGGAUCCCAUUAAGAGGCGAAGGAGGCAGGGAGGUCCUGGAACCAGCGGGGCCUAUGGCGGCCGGCGGGGAAGGAGGCGCCGGCAGUGCUGCCACCUAGCGGUGUGAGGAGGCGGUGCUGCACCAGGGAGGCCCUUCCUGCAACCGGAGUGGGCCUGGAAGGGGCCGGCUUCGCACACUAGGAGCCAGCAGGGCAGGGAGGGGCUCCGGACCGGACCGUGUCGGCUCCAGGAACCCCUUGGGCAGCCUUGUGGACACCUGCUGACCUCUCUCAGAAUGGCUUCUAAGUGCAUAGAUGAAAAAGCCCAGGAUUAUUAGGAAACCAAUUCUAUGCAAAUGCAUUAUCAAAAGAGUAAUAAAAACAAAUUUCUGAUAUAGCCGUAUAUAUUAUUUAUUAAUACACUUAGUAAGCAAUUGACAGAUCCUAAAUUACGUUCCUUUUGAAGUCCAGAUAUGCAGCAAUAAUAUCCUGAGGUAACUGCAGCCAUGGCAGUGUGAUAUGGAAAUGCCAGUGCUUUCUAUGUUUGACGGUCACAGGCACUGAGCUCUGCCACCGACAUUGAUAAUGAAAGGAAAUGCCAAGUCUCAGUUAGGGUUAAAUAAAGAUGCCAGUUUUCC
rnacentral:lncRNA from 1 species